AGAGUUUGAUCCUGGCUCAGGACGAACGCUGGCGGCGUGCUUAACACAUGCAAGUCGAGCGGAAAGGCCCUUCGGGGUACUCGAGCGGCGAACGGGUGAGUAACACGUGAGUAACCUGCCCUUGGCUCUGGGAUAGCUCCGGGAAACCGGAAUUAAUGCCGGAUAGGACUUUGGCCGACAUCGGCUGGGGUGGAAAGAUUUAUCGGCCAGGGAUGGGCUCGCGGCCUAUCAGCUUGUUGGUGGGGUAACGGCCUACCAAGGCGACGACGGGUAGCCGGCCUGAGAGGGCGACCGGCCACACUGGGACUGAGACACGGCCCAGACUCCUACGGGAGGCAGCAGUGGGGAAUAUUGCGCAAUGGGCGGAAGCCUGACGCAGCGACGCCGCGUGGGGGAUGAAGGCCUUCGGGUUGUAAACCCCUUUCGGCAGGGACGAAGCGGAAGUGACGGUACCUGCAGAAGAAGCGCCGGCUAACUACGUGCCAGCAGCCGCGGUAACACGUAGGGCGCAAGCGUUGUCCGGAAUCAUUGGGCGUAAAGAGCUCGUAGGCGGUUUGUUACGUCUGCUGUGAAAUCUGGGGGCUUAACCCCCAGCGUGCAGUGGAUACGGGCAGACUAGAGGUAGGUAGGGGAGAAUGGAAUUCCCGGUGUAGCGGUGAAAUGCGCAGAUAUCGGGAGGAACACCGGUGGCGAAGGCGGUUCUCUGGGCCUUACCCGACGCUGAGGAGCGAAAGCGUGGGGAGCGAACAGGAUUAGAUACCCUAGUAGUCC
rnacentral:rRNA from 1 species